rnacentral:rRNA from 1 species
AACGAACGUUGGCGGCGUGGAUUAGGCAUGCAAGUCGAACGAGAAAGCCACCUUCGGUGGUUAGUAAAGUGGCGAACGGGUGAGUAACGCGUGGGAAUCUGCCCUACAGUUGGGGAUAACACUCCUAACGGAGUGCUAAUACCGAAUGAGACCACGAGAUCGCAUGGUCUUGAGGUUGAAGGUGGCCUCUCCUUGGAAGCUACCGCUGCAGGAGGAUCCCGCGUCCCAUUAGCUUGUUGGCAGGGUAACGGCCUACCAAGGCUUCGAUGGGUAGCUGGUCUGAGAGGAUGGUCAGCCACACUGAGACUGAGAUACGGCCCAGACUCCUACGGGAGGCAGCAGUCGAGAGGCUUCGGCAAUGGGGGAAACCCUGACCGAGCGACGCCGCGUGGGCGAUGAAGGUUGUAAGAUCGUAAAGCCCUGUCAGGAGGGAAGAACUGCCAAUGGGCAAACAGGCCAUUGGUUUGACGGUACCUCCAGAGGAAGCUCCGGCU